rnacentral:rRNA from 1 species
UACGUAGGGUCCGAGCGUUGUCCGGAUUUAUUGGGCGUAAAGAGCUCGUAGGCGGUUCCGUAAGUCAGAUGUGAAAACUCAGCUCACCCGGAGACGCCAUCUGAUACUGCGGUGACUGGAGUCUGGUAGGGGAACACGGAAUUCCUGGUGUAGCGGUGAAAUGCGUAGAUAUCUGCAGGAACACCCGUGGCGAAAGCGGCGAGCUGGACCACUACUGACGCUGAAGAACGAAAGCUAGGGGAGCAAACAGG